UAUUGGAUGAUAAGGUAGAGUGUUCGCAUGAACAUCCACACAGAAAAACUGUAUCCGUUUGUGGUUUAGUUUAUUGAAUUUUAUUAUUAUAAUUUAUAUUUGUGGAACCAUAUUUUUUAAAAAUAGUGCGUUACUAUUUUCUUCGAUAUAAAAUUAGUUACAGUUUAUUGAAUGAAUCAGUUUUUGUUUAGUGAAGAUAAGAUAAAGACUCCAAAAUUUAUGGAAAGUUUAAGUACAUACUUUAAGAAUUAUGAACUUUUAUCGCUAAUUCAAUUAGAGUUAACUCCGACUCUAUCAAUGAUGCACUGAUUAGGAGUUAAAUAUAUUUUUAUUAUGAAAUAUAAAAAUUUGAAGUUUUAACCUUUAUAUAUACAAAUGAAUACUUCUUGUUUACAUAGUAAAAGUGAAACAUAUUUUGUUAAUUAAUCGUUAGUCAUGAUUAAGGCAAUUUUGGUAUUUAACAAUCAUGGAAAGCCUAGACUUUCUAAAUUUUACCAAUACUUUAAUGAAGAUAUGCAGCAACAGAUAAUAAAAGAAACAUUUCAGUUGGUUUCCAAAAGAGAUGAUAAUGUUUGUAACUUUUUGGAAGGUGGAAGUUUAAUUGGAGGUUCUGAUUAUAAAUUAAUUUAUCGACAUUAUGCAACUUUAUAUUUUGUAUUCUGUGUCGACAGUUCAGAAUCAGAAUUAGGAAUAUUAGAUCUGAUACAAGUUUUCGUUGAAACAUUGGAUAAAUGUUUUGAAAAUGUAUGCGAACUUGAUUUAAUUUUUCAUGUAGAUAAAGUUCACUAUAUACUCAAUGAAUUAGUGAUGGGUGGAAUGGUCCUUGAAACUAAUAUGACUGAAAUACUUACACGAAUUGAAGAUCAAAAUAAAUUGGAGAAACAGGAGGCAGGAAUCACAGCAGCGCCGGCGCGUGCUGUUUCUGCUGUCAAGAAUAUGAAUAUACCACAACAGAUAAAGGACAUGAAGUUGCCUGAUUUGCCACAGGCCAUAAAAGAUCUCAAAUUCUGACCAGCCGUUACAUCGUUGGCUCCAAGCUGACUGAUUUCAUCUACGAAUCCCAAUGCUUGUAAGUACCAUUUACAAAGUGAAGACGAGUUUUAAGAGAUGUAUGUAUUUAGUUUUGAAAACAAGGAUCUGGACUUGUUAUGUAAAGAAAGAGGUAAAACAACUUUAUGGCUUUAAAAACAUUAAUAUUUUAUGAAGGAUGUAAUAUCGCUCCUGUAUAUUAAAAAAAUAUAUGUUUCCAUUAUAGUGUAACCUA
rnacentral:misc_RNA from 1 species